AGCAGAGAACAGGGCAUUCUGUCUCUGUUACUAGAAACUGGGGACAUGUAGCAGUGGACAUUUGAGCUGGACCUUGAAGGAUGGAUAAGGUGAAGGACUUCCAGGAGAGGGAAUAGCAGAAACAAACAGGAGACCAUAGCACACCAAGAAUGAAAAUCUUUUUCAACCACUGAUUGUCUGAGCUCUAAAACCUCAACCGUAGACGCUGGAAAGGCAGACCAACUGCUCCUUUGCUCAGCAGCAUCUCUUUUGGCUACACAUUUUGACUAACCUGUUUUGACAGGGGGAGCAGGGGCCUUUGAGCACACUUAUCUUUCUCUUGGUGGCUCUCAAAUCAUCCUAAGUGGUUUGAAAGUUUAAUAGUUGCAGUGGGUGUGGUGGCGCACAUCUUUGAUGAUGGCGCUUAGGAAGCAGAGGCAGGUGGAUCUCUGUGAGUUCUAGGCCAGCCAGGUCUUAUAUAUAGUGAGUUCCAGGACAGCCAAGGGCAGUGUGGAGAGAUACUGUGUCAGAAAAGCAAAAAAUGUUUAACAGUUGCUCAAAAAAAAAAAAAAAAAAAAAAAAAAAAAGCCAGUACUUAGCUAGUGGAUGGCAAACAACACUCGGAGGAAAGUUGGCUUUGAGGAGUGUUUUUAAAGUUCUGGGUGACAUUCUAGAAGAUUUACUGCACUUUAAACAAAAUAUUAAAGCCCUACUGCAAAUAGUUGGCUCUGUGGGAUCUGGAAAGUGGCUGCCUUCUCCAGGCUCCGGAGCUGGAACUUUCCACCACAGCCUUGGCAGUAGCCAGGUAGAGUCAGUUCUCCGACACACAGCCCUGGCCUAGACCGGGCCUACCUUUUCUCCCCGAGGUUUAUGAGACGACACCCAGUCCCCGUUACAAAGAAUGGAAUAUGGAGCUCUAACUGCUGCUCGGAGCAAGGAAUCACCAGCAGUUCUGUUAGCUGUUUGGCCUCGGGAGCGGGGUGACGUGAGUCAUUUGUGAGCGUGAGGAGGCAGCUGGUGAGGGGAGGAGGCUAAUUUUGUCACAGUUAAAGGAAGUGUUGUGGUACCUUACCAGUGGGGGGCUACCUCCUGCCGAAGGUGUUUCGAAAUCCUUCGUGUCGCGGAAGUUCAGAGCCGAGUCCGAACGUCAGGUGACAGGACAGAACGCUGAACACCGGACCAUUCGUGCCUGGUGAAGAAAGUGGCCUGGUUACACAGACGGCGGCUGUGUCUCACGGGCAAGACGGCAGAAUUUGACGUCACCGGACGUAAAGACUUAAUGAACUACGUGAGCAAACCGGAAGUGUGAAGAGCCGCCUCGCACAGUAAGAACAAUGCAGAGGGCCUCGGUCCACAGAACAGAAAGCCACUCAACCAGGAAGGGAUUGGUCUGGCUCAGAAGGGAGGACAUGGAGAUACGCUGUCCUUCCUCCUGUGCCAAGCAGAUUCUGUCUAUGCUCUAACGCGCUUUUUAACCUUUAAAAAUACGUUUUUUAACUUUCAUAAAUACGUUUCCAUUCAAACAUAUCACACACUUUGGUCAUAUUAACUCCCACAUUCUCUCCUUUCUACCUAUCCCCUUAGAGACAACUUUGGUUUUUUGAGACAGGGUUUCUCUUUGUAUAACUUUGGCUGUUGGCUGUUGUGGAACUCACUCUGUAGACCAGGCUGGCCUCGAACUCACAGAGAUCCGCCUGCCUCUGCCUCCCAAAUGCUGGGAUUAAAGGUGUAUGCCACCACCUCCCAGAGAGACAACUUAUUUUUAAUUAACAUUUUUUUUCAUUUACUAUAUUUUGAUUAUGUUUUCACCCUCCCCCUUUCAAUUCCUCCCAGGUCCUCCCCACCUCUCUACCCAACAAACUUUGGUCUUUCUCUCUCUCUUUCAAAAAAACCAAGAAACAAAACAAAACACCACAUAAAAACAACAAAAAUCAAAACAAACAGUAUGUCUAUUUAUGCAUUCCUUCCUCUUACUGCUAACCCUGAAUUUGUACCAAUAUUCAUUUUUUUAAAAGUCUACAGUACAAGUUAAGCUCAUGAGUUAAAAUAUGUUCUUACUAUUCUUUUUCAGAAUAUUAUUUGUCUUCCCUUUGAUUUUUCUUUUGAUGCUUCCUGUGCAUCCAGCUAUAUUUUGGCCAAUUUCUGUUCCUUUCCCUGCACAGCCCUUCUUCUCUUUUAUCUUUGAGGUAGUCACAUUAAAGUCUAUGAAGGGCUGACAAGAUGGCUCAGUGGCUAAAAGCACUUGCUGCUAGAGUCACCUUCAUCCUUCAGUGAACACAGAAACGCCACAGCAAUCUGGAGAUGUCACCAUCAAGAGGAGUCAAUGACCCCUUCUGAGGGCCAGACUGUAUUCUACUUAUCGUGGUUUCAUUUUGUAGCACUCAGAUGUCCAAUUUUGUUCCAGAUAAUCCAGGAGACUAAAGAACAAACAACAAAUAUGUUA